rnacentral:rRNA from 1 species
GAUGAACGCUGGCGGCGUGCCUAAUACAUGCAAGUCGAGCGAACAGACGAGGAGCUUUCUCCUUUUACGUUAGCGGCGGACGGGUGAGUAACACGUGGAUCACCUACCUAUAAGACUGGGAUAAUUUCGUGAAACCGGAGCCAAUAACGGAUAAUAUAUUGAACCGCAUGGUUCAAUAGUGAAAGACGGCUUUCCUGUCACUUAUAGCUGGAUCCGCGUCGCAUUAGCUAGUUGGUAAGGUAACGGCUUACCAAGGCGACGAUGCGUAGCCGAGCUGAGAGGGUGAUCAGCCACACUGGAACUGAGACACGGUCCAGACUCCUACGGGAGGCAGCAGUAGGGAAUCUUCCGCAAAGGGCGAAAGCCCGACGUAGCCAUGCCGCGUGAGUGAUGAAGGUCUUCGGAUUGUAAAGCUCUUUUAGUAGGGAAGAACAGAUGAGUGAGUAACUAUGCACGUCUUGACGGUACCUAAUGAAAAAGCCACGGCUAACUACGUG